GAGGGUACAGCUCAGUGGUAGAGCACACGCUUAGCAUGCACGAGGUCCUGGGUUCAGACCCCAGUACCUCCA
rnacentral:tRNA from 1 species